AGAUCUCACUUGAGCAGAGUGAAUCUCCUGCUGAUACUUCUGGCGUUAAAACUUUUGUAAGAAAAAAAGUUAUAAGAAAGGUACCAGUGGGAAAAUCUACUCAAAAUAAAGAAAAUGACUUGCAUUCUGAGAUGAAAGCUGGGAAGGACUGCACUGAAGAUAAACCAAAGAAUACUUCAGAUACCAGCACUGAAGAUAAACCAAAGAAUACUUCAGAUACCAGCACUCCUAUAGUUACGCAAGGUACUGGUAUCAAAACAACCAUAAAAAAGAAAAUAAUUAAGAAAGUACUUAAAAGAAAGCUCACUGGUGCAGGAGCCAGUGGCGGGAC
rnacentral:lncRNA from 1 species